AGGUUGAGCUGAUGUGAUGAUGGUGCUGCAAUGAGCGGAGUCUCCAGGGUUGUUAAUAAAUAGUUAACCUGUCUAGAAUAUGUCUUCAUACAUAUGUCUAGCUACUUUCCGCUGCAAGAUGUUGUUGAUGUUAUAGUAUGUUAUGUCAUACUUUGAGUCUUAAGAGAAUGAUUUCAUAUGAUGUAUAACUUGAUUAAUGAUAUUAAUUAAGUUUUAUGCUGUCUUUCAUAGACUGUUUUCAAUUGAGU
rnacentral:lncRNA from 1 species